GAUGCAUGGUUGAAACAAGAUUUAUCGUGAGAAGUCAGCAGAAGCCAUAUUACAUCAGUUCGACCGCUGAUGGAAGGGC
rnacentral:ncRNA from 1 species